UACAGAGGUGGCAAGCGUUGUUCGGAAUUACUGGGCGUAAAGGGCGCGUAGGCGGCCUUUCAAGUCGGACGUGAAAUCCCCGGGCUUAACUCGGGAACUGCGUCCGAUACUGGGAGGCUUGAGUUCGGGAGAGGGAUGUGGAAUUCCAGGUGUAGCGGUGAAAUGCGUAGAUAUCUGGAGGAACACCGGUGGCGAAGGCGGCAUCCUGGACCGAAACUGACGCUGAGGCGCGAAAGCCAGGGGAGCAAACGGGAUUAGAUACCCCCGUAGUCC
rnacentral:rRNA from 1 species